CCUACGGGAGGCAGCAGUGAGGAAUAUUGGUCAAUGGGCGCGAGCCUGAACCAGCCAAGUAGCGUGAAGGAUGACUGCCCUACGGGUUGUAAACUUCUUUUAUAAAGGAAUAAAGUGAGGCACGUGUGCCUUUUUGUAUGUACUUUAUGAAUAAGGAUCGGCUAACUCCGUGCCAGCAGCCGCGGUAAUACGGAGGAUCCGAGCGUUAUCCGGAUUUAUUGGGUUUAAAGGGAGCGUAGAUGGGUUGUUAAGUCAGUUGUGAAAGUUUGCGGCUCAACCGUAGAAGUGCAAUUGAUACUGGCAGCCUUGAGUACAGUUGAGGAGGGCGGAAUUCGUGGGGUAGCGGUGAAAUGCUUAGAUAUCACGAAGAACUCCAAUUGCGAAGGCAACCUACUAAGCUGCCACUGACGUUGAGGCUCGAAAGUGUGGGUAUCAAACAGGAUUAGAUACCCCGGUAGUC
rnacentral:rRNA from 1 species